rnacentral:rRNA from 1 species
ACGGGAGGCAGCAGUGGGGAAUAUUGCACAAUGGGGGAAACCCUGAUGCAGCAACGCCGCGUGAGUGAUGAAGUAUUUCGGUAUGUAAAGCUCUAUCAGCAGGGAAGAAAAUGACGGUACCUGACUAAGAAGCCCCGGCUAACUACGUGCCAGCAGCCGCGGUAAUACGUAGGGGGCAAGCGUUAUCCGGAUUUACUGGGUGUAAAGGGUGCGUAGACGGCUGUGCAAGUCAGAAGUGAAAUCCCGGGGCUUAACCCCGGUGCUGCUUUUGAAACUGUACGGCUAGAGUGCUGGAGGGGCAAGCGGAAUUCCUGGUGUAGCGGUGAAAUGCGUAGAUAUCAGGAGGAACACCGGUGGCGAAGGCGGCUUGCUGGACAGUAACUGACGUUGAGGCACGAAAGCGUGGGGAGCAAACAGGAUUAGAUACCCUGGUA